rnacentral:lncRNA from 1 species
GUUGUUUAACGGCAUGAUUGUUCUUUAGGGUUUGUGUUCUUAAGGAUUAGUGCAGUUGGUUUAGAAAUCAAAAUGGGACUGUUGUGUUCUUAACGGUUGUUAGCAUUAUUAAACGACUGUGGUCUUAGUUUAUGGGAGUCUAGGGAUUGGCUAUUCAAUAUGGGAGUCUAUGGGAUUUGUUAUUCAAAAUGGGAGUCUUAGUUUAAUCAAGAUUGUUUACUCUGGAGUUAGCUUCUCCUCUUACAUUAGUAUUAUAGACACUUUGACUCUGUGAUUCUUUUCGAGAAAAUGUUGACCUUUAUAUGUGAUCUGAG